GGGGGUUACGCGGGGAAGUGAAACAUCUCAGUACCCGUAGGAAGAGAAAAUAAUAAUGAUUCUGCUAGUAGUGGCGAACGAACGUGGAUGAGGCUAAACCGUGUGCAUGUGAUACCUGGUAGGGGUUGUGUGUGCGGUGUUGUGGGCCCUGAUGAGGAUGGCUACUGACGUCCUGCCCGCGCAUUGUUGUUAGGUGAAGUGGUGUGGAAACGCCUGCCGUAGAAGGUGAUAGUCCUGUAGCUGAAGAUGAUGGUGUGUGGGUUGUUGGGUUGCCCGAGUAGCAGCGGGCUCGUGGAAUCUGCUGUGAAUCUGCCGGGACCACCCGGUAAGCCUAAAUACUCAGUGUGACCGAUAGUGGAUAGUACCGUGAGGGAAUGGUGAAAAGUACCCCGGGAGGGGAGUGAAAUAGUUCCUGAAACCAUGUGCUUACAAUCCGUCAGAGCACUUUUUGUGUGUGAUGGCGUGCCUUUUGAAGA
rnacentral:rRNA from 1 species